UACCGCAUAUGGUCUUCGGAUUAAAGCUUCGGGCGGUUUGGGGAAGAGCCCCGCGCAAGAUUAGCUAGUUGGUGAGGUAAAGGCUCACCAAGGCGACGAUCUUUAGCUGGUUUGAGAGGAUGAUCAGCCACACUGGAACUGAGACACGGUCCAGACUCCUACGGGGAGGCAGCAGUUAGGAAUUUCCACAAUGGGCGCAAGCCUGAUGGAGCAACGCCGCGUGCAGGAUGUAAGGUUUUCGGAUUAGUAAACUGUCUUUUAUAAGUGAAGAAUAUGACGGUAACUUAUGAAUAAGGAUCGGCUAACUCCGUG
rnacentral:rRNA from 1 species